UAGGUGUGGUUAGGUACACGCCAUCCCAGCAGCAAGGGGACUGAGGCGUCAAGAUGUUGACUUAAAGGCCAGAGGUACACAGUGAGACCUUGCCUCAAGGUAGAAAAGGAGCUGGAGAGAUGGCUCAUGAAUCAAAGCACUUGCUGCUCUUAAAGAAGACUUGUGUUUGGUUCUCUGCAUCUGCAUGGCAGCUCACGGCCAUCUGUAACUCCAGUACCAGGCCAACUGAAACCUCCUCUGACCUCUGCAGGCACUGGGGAUGCACGUGGUACACAGACUUAGAUAUUGUGCUGGAGAGUAAACCCAGAAGCUCAAAGUGACCAGCAGUACCACGAGCUACAUCCCCAUUCUCCCUCCCCUGAAUCAGAGGCCAAAUGGACCCGGAUGUAGAGCGAUGCUGAGACACUGCUCUAGGUGCUGACAAUGAAAUGGGAACCAUUUCUGUGCUCAUCAACACGCAUUCAGACGGAGAAUACAGCAGAUUGAAUAUGCUACAGCAAGAUGACUUCAGUUGGAGGCAGACCCUAAGAAGGAUGUUUCGUACAUAUUAAAAGGAUUACCUGUCUCCCUAGGGUGAAAUUAGCACACCUGUUGUCUUUGCUGGCCAACAAGUUCUCAAUUUUUAUACUUCCCAUCAGGAAGCUUGAAGAUAAUAUGGUCUGAACCCACAACGAACUUGUACUGAACAUUGUACUUGUG
rnacentral:lncRNA from 1 species